UGAUUUUGAAAGUUAUCAUUAUAAAUGUUCACACUAAAAUUCUGCUUAUCUAAAAAAACAUCAGAUAAAAAAAAGUCCAGAAAACAGUUUUAAAUAAUUAAAAGCCAACAAGUCUAGGGGCAAUAACUUUGGUGAAAUAGUCAUCAAACUUGAUCUUAAGUCAUCAAUAAAUUCAGCUUAUUCUCUACAAGCACAUUUAAGCUGUCUGCAAAACAGUGAAUAAUUAGACAUUUUCAACAUCUUGGGGUUCAUUUUGAUGAAAAUUGGUCAAUUGACAUGAAACUUGAACUUGAUCUAUAAGUCAUUAAUAUAAAUACCAAAUAUUGGCUCAAUAUCUACAUGCACAGCAAGAAAGUCCAGAAAAUUAAGACCGAAUGACAAAAUGAUGGAUGGAAAGGGGUAACACUAUAUGCCCUUAUCAUUACAAGGUGGGUGGGUGGGGGGGGGGGAGUUCUUAGAAAUGUAACCAUAAAAGAGAUGUGCAUCAAAGUUGAAAUUCACUAUUUUUAGCUGCAGAAGGUUGAUAGAAGUUAAUAUACUCCCAAGAUUUGUAUCAAAAUUCAUUGGAGCAAUUCAUGUGCAAUCUGUACAACCACAAUAAGAUAAAGGUACCGGAAUUUUACAUCGUGGAAAUCGUGGAAUCACUUUUGAUAUCACUUCUCUGUUGCAUCCUUUCCUACUACACGGAGAGAAAAAACCCAAUGUCUAUUAAAUUUUUACAGAAGAAUCCUCUAUUUUAAAACUUUUACAGAACUAUUUCCAUUUUUUUAAAAACCUUUUACAGAAGUAUCACCUCUUUUUAAACUUUUAUUGAAGUAUCACCUCUUUUUUAACUUUAACAGAAGUAUCACCUUUUUUUUUUAAACUUUUACAGAAGUAUCACCUUUUUUAACUUUUACAGAAGUAUCACCUCUUUUUUAACUUUAACAGGUGAUACACCUUUUUUUUAACUCUAACAGAAGUAUCACCUCUUUUUUAACUUUAACAGAAGUAUCACCUUUUUUAAAACUUUUACUGAAGUAUCACCUUUUUUUUUUUAAACUUUUACAGAAGUAUCACCUCUUUUAUAACUUUAACAGAAAUAUCACCUCUUUUUUAACUUUAACAGAAGUAUCACCUUUUUUUUAACUUUUACAGAAGUAUCACCUCUUUUUUAACUUUAACAGAAGUAUCACCUCUUUUUUAACUUUAACAGAAGUAUCACCUCUUUUUUAACUUUAACAGAAGUAUCACCUUUUUUAAACUUUUACUGAAGUAUCACCUUUUUUUUUUUUUUUUUACUUUUACAGAAGUAUCACCUCUUUUUUAACUUUAACAGAAAUAUCACCUCUUUUUUAACUUUAACAGAAGUAUCACCUCUUUUUUUUAACUUUUACAGAAGUAUCACCUCUUUUUUAACUUUUACAGAAGUAUCACCUCUUUUUUAACUUUAACAGAAGUAUCACCUUUUUUUUUUAACUUUUACAGAAGUAUCACCUUUUUUAACUUUUACAGAAGUAUCACCUCUUUUUUAACUUUUACAGAAGACUCUCCUCUAUUUUAAAACUUUUACUGAAGUAUCUCCUCUUUUUAAAAAUACUUAAAACUAUUACUAAAACGCAGUAUUAAGUCUUCCCCAGAAGACAUGUGUCGCCUGCUAGUUCAUUCUAUAUGUAAUAUAUCACGUAUAAUGUUGAAAAAGUAAAUUAUUCAAAUGGUUUUUGUCAGUUUAAUACUACUUUUAAAGGUUUUGAGAAUUACUAAACAUUCUUUAACGAUAACUUAAUUGAAAUUGAAAGAUGAGACAUUAUUAUGCAAUGGAAUUUGUGGGAGAAUCUGUUUGAAAUUAAGACAUUUAUUAAAUGUAGACUGAAUGAAAACAUAUGUUUGAAAAUAUGUAUCAACCUGUUACUGUGCUCUUCAAGACAAUGGUAAUAACCAUAAGUAAUUAUCUGUUGGGUUUACUGCUUAGUCUUGUUGUCUUUAUAUAUCCAAUUUACUGUUUCUCAAGAAAAAUCAUAAAUAGUGCUGUUCUGAAAUCACAUAUACUGUCCUUCAGUAUGGGAAUUACAAAUACUGUCCUUUUGUACAUAAAAAUACUGUCCUUCAGUUAAUCAUAAAAUAAAAUCUUCAGCAAAAAAUUUUUUUGCUGUAAAAAAUUCUAAGUCCCGGCAAACAGGAAGUUGAUAAGCGACAGAUUCGAAAAUGUCUUACACAAUACAGUUGGCCACACUGACGCUCUGUGCCAAAUAUCAGGGAGUUGCCCCAUGUGGUUCUUGAGAAAACUGUGACAGAAAUUUUUUUUGCUGUAAAAAAUUCUAAGUCCCGGCAAACAGGAAGUUGAUAAGAGACAGAUUCGAAAAUGUCUUACACAAUACAGUUGGCCACACUGAUGCUCUGUGCCAAAUAUCAUGGAGUUGCCCCAUGUGGUUCUUGAGAAAACUGUGACAGAAAUUUUUUGUGACGACGCCAGACGACGACGCAGGACGACGGAUAGUGAUCCCUAUAUGUCGCCACUGCGUGUAACACAGGCGACACAAUAUCACAUCUUUUUCUGAAGUUUGAGGAAAAAAUUAUAAUUCUCUAUGAGGACUUCAAGAGUUGUCAUUCUAUUAAGUACUGCACAUUAAAACCCUAUCUGGUACAGCACUUUCUUUGUACAACUCCCCCUAUCCCCACUCAAAAAUGAUGUUGAGCACCAUAGACUGGAUGGUGGCAGAAAUUAACCCAGUUCAUAGCGAACCUCUAGGGCCAUGUAAAAUCAAUUCAUUAUAAGCAUACUUCGUAAGAUUUCAUUAUCUAUUUCUUUCGUUGUAAGCUUAUUUUACUGUAUGUGUGUUUGUUGUAAGUGUGUUUUACUGUAUGUGUAUUUUACUGUAUGUGUGUUCGUUGUAAGCUUGUUUUACUAUAUGUGUGAUCGUUGUAAGCAUGUUUUACUAUAUGUGUGUUCAUUGUAAGUGUGUUUUACUGUAUGUGUGUUCAUUGUAAGUGUGUUUUACUGUAUGUGUGUUUGUUGUAAGCAUGUUUCACUGUAUGUGUAUUCAUUGUAAGCAUGUUUUACUGUAUGUGUGUUUUACUGUAUGUGUGUUCAUUGUAAGCAUGUUUUACUGUAUGUGUGUUCGUUGUAAGUGUGUUUCACUGUAUGUGUGUUCAUUGUAAGCGUGUUUUACUGUAUGUGUGUUCAUUGUAAGUGUGUUUUACUGUAUGUGUGUUCAUUUUAAGCAUGUUUUACUGCAUGUGUGUUCAUUGUAAGUGUGUUUUAUUGUAUGUGUGUUCGUUGUAAGUGUAUUUUACUGUAUGUGUGUUUGUUGUAAGCAUGUUUUACUGUAUGUGUGUUCGUUGUAAGUAUGUAUUACUGUAUUUGUGUUUGUUGUAAGCAUGUUUUACUGUAUGUGUGUUCGUUGUAAGUGUGUUUUACUGUAUGUGUGUUCAUUGUAAGUAUGCUCUACUAUAUGUGUGUUCAUUGUAAGUGUGUUUUACUGUAUGUGUGUUCAUUGUAAGCGUGUUUUACUGUAUGUGUGUUCAUUGUAAGUGUGUUUUACUGUAUGUGUGUUCAUUGUAAGUAUGUUCUACUGUAUGUGUGUUCAUUGUAAGCGUGUUUUACUGUAUGUGUGUUCAUUGUAAGCAUGUUUUACUGUAUGUGUGUUCAUUGUAAGUGUGUUUUACUGUAUGUGUGUUCAUUGUAAGCUUGUUUUACUGUAUGUGUGUUCAUUGUAAGCAUGUUUUACUGUAUGUGUGUUCAUUGUAAGCAUAUUUUACUGUAUGUGUGUUCAUUGUAAGCGUGUUUUACUGUAUGUGUGUUCGUUGUAAGCGUGUUUUACUGUAUGUGUGUUCGUUGUAAGCGUGUUUUACUGUAUGUGUGUUCGUUGUAAGCGUGUUUUACUGUAUGUGUAUUCGUUGUAAGUGUGUUUUACUGUAUGUGUGUUCAUUGUAAGUGUGUUUUACUGUAUGUGUGUUCGUUGUAAGCAUGUUUUACUGUAUGUGUGAUCGUUGUAAGCAUGUUUUACUGUAUGUGUGUUCGUUCUAAGCAUGUUUUACUGUAUGUGUGUUCGUUGUAAGUGUGUUUUACUGUAUGUGUGUUCGUUGUAAGCGUGUUUUACUGUAUGUGUGUUCGUUGUAAGCGUGUUUUACUGUAUGUGUAUUCGUUGUAAGUGUGUUUUACUGUAUGUGUGUUCGUUGUAAGUGUGUUUUACUGUAUGUGUGUUCAUUGUAAGCAUGUUUUACUGUAUGUGUGUUCGUUGUAAGUGUGUUUUACUGUAUGUGUAUUCGUUGUAAGUGUGUUUUACUGUAUGUGUAUUCGUUGUAAGUGUGUUUUACUGUAUGUGUGUUCGUUGUAAGUGUGUUUUACUGUAUGUGUGUUCAUUGUAAGUGUGUUUUACUGUAUGUGUGUUCAUUGAAAGUAUGUUCUACUGUAUGUGUGUUUGUUGUAAGCAUGUUUUACUGUAUGUGUGUUCGUUGUAAGUGUGUUUUACUGUAUGUGUGUUUGUUGUAAGCAUGUUUUACUGUAUGUGUGUUCGUUGUAAGUGUGUUUUACUGUAUGUGUGUUUGUUGUAAGUAUGUUCUACUUUAUGUGUGUUCGUUCUAAGCAUGUUUUACUGUAUGUGUAUUCAUUGUAAGUAUGUUUUACUGUAAGUGUGUUUUACUGUAUGUGUGUUUGUUGUAAGCAUGUUUUACUGUAUGUGUGUUCAUUGUAAGCAUGUUUUACUGAAUCCAUACCAGUAAAUCAAUAAGAUGAUGUAGGUGUACAGAGAUUUUCCUUACUAAUACUGAGAUUUUCCUUACUUAUACUGAGAUUUUCCUUACUUGUACUGAGAUUUUCCUUACCUGUACUGAGAUUUUCCUUACUUAUACUGAGAUAUUCCUUACUUAUACUGAGAUUUUCGUUACUUGUACUGAGAUUUUCCUUACUUAUACUGAGAUUUUCCUUACUUGUACUGAUAUUUUCCUUACUUAUACUGAGAUUUUCCUUAUUGUACUGAGAUAUUCCUUACUUGUACUGAGAUAUUUCUUACUUAUACUGAGAUAUUCCUUACUUGUACUGAGAUUUUCCUUACUAAUACUGAGAUAUUCCUUACUAUUACUGAGAUUUUCCUUACUUGUACUGAGAUAUUCCUUACUUGUACUGAGAUAUUCCUUACUUAUACUGAGAUUUUCCUUACUUGUACUGAGAUUUUCCUUACUUGUACUGAGAUUUUCCUUACUAUUACUGAGAUUUUCCUUACUCAGGGUUCGAAAUUAACUCAUGUCCGUAAGUCCGAGACUAGUAAAAAACGUGUCGGACUAGUGAACUCUCUAUAGCACUAGUCCGUACGGACUAGUGAAAAUCCGGAAAUCAAUUUUGAAUAUGGUAAAGAUUUUUAGCAAGAUUUGUCCAAGUCUCUUAGAUGUUUGAACUUAUGGUCGAUUAAUUACCUGCACGGUUAAGUGUUUGCGUGACUGUGACAUCCUGAGCUUCCAAACACAUGGAGUGCAUUCGAGACCGCCGUUCUUCGAACGUGCACAAAUUGUCAAAUUCCUGCCGAUUCCGAACGCCGAGUACACAUCACGAGAAUGUAUUCUAGGUGCAAGAAUUGCAAGUAGUGUGGUCUGAAAACAUGCACGUUUGUGCGCACAUGUUCUCGUCAUUCGCGACUCUAACACAGUAGUUCAUAACACUAUAGCUCAUGACUUGGUCAAUCGAGUGAAUGUUAUCGACUUUAUUGAUAAAAUUUUGAACUCCUGUGGCUCUAAGAUCUGAGCACCAAAACAACAGGAAUGUCGAUCUCGAACGCACUUAUGGAUGUUAUAAAAGGAUUAACUCGGAGGUUAAUAUUGUAUGCUUCUGAAGAUCUUGAAUGCGAAAUAAAAUAUGGUGGUCUCUUUCUUCUGUACGUGUCAGAAAUUAAAUUGAUUGCAACUGUGAUGUGUUUGGUUUCAUUAAAUACUGUUGAAUAAAAUGAAGAUCAUUUAAUAUGAUGUACUGGACGGACUAGUGAAAUGCUUUGUGGACUAGUGAACAUCAAUAGUGACUAGUCUGUACGGACAAGUGCUUGAAAAAGUUAAUUUCGAACCCUGUUACUUAUACUGAGAUUUUCCUUACUUGUACUGAGAUAUUCCUUACUUGUACUGAGAUAUUCCUUAGUUAUACUGAGAUUUUCCUUACUUGUACUGAGAUAUUCCUUACUUGUACUGAGAUUUUCCUUACCUGUACUGGGAUUUUCCUUACCUGUACUGAGAUUUUCCUUACUUGUACCGAGAUUUUCCUUACUUGUACUGAGAUUUUCCUUACCUGUACUGGGAUUUUCCUUACCUGUACUGAGAUUUUCCUUACUUAUACUGAGAUUUUCCUUACUUGUACUGAAAUAUUCUUUACUAUUACUGAGAUAUUCCUUAUUUGUACUGAGAUUUUCCUUACUUGUACUGAGAUAUUCCUUACCUGUACUGAGAUUUUCCUUACUUGUACUGAGAUUUUCCUUACCUAUAUUGAGAUUUUCCUUACCUGUACUGAGAUUUUCCUUACUUGUACUGAGAUUUUCCUUACUUGUACUGAGAUUUUCCUUACCUGUACUGAGAUUUUCCUUACUUGUACUGAGAUUUUCCUUACUUGUAUGGCUCACUGUUGUGUUUCCUCCUUUUCAGCUCCCUCUCUGGUACAGCACUUUCUUUGUACAAAAACCCCCACUCAAAAAUUCCUCGAUGAUGUUGAGCACCGUAGACUGGAUGAUAGCGGAAAUUAUCCCAGUCUAUGCCGUCAAUAGUGGGAACAGCCAUAAUAGUCCUGAUCAGUUAUUGAGAUGAAAAUUUUAAUCAUUAUACAUGUACUGCAAAGCAACUUUGAUUCACUAGCGAGAAAUUUUUGCAACAUUUACAAGAACCUUGACAUUGAGAAUGUUUCUCGCCACAAAUCAGUCAUUUAAUGUCUCUCAUAUUUGUUUAAGAUUAGCUGCCACAAGGAGAUAAAAGAUUAGCUGCCACAAGGAGAUAAAAGAUUAUUAGAGCUGUCUGUUAAGCGUCAUCAAAGGAUCGAAAAUAGCGAGAAAUACUCACAAAAUGCGAAUUAAUUUGGAACAUUGUAAAUCAAAAUAGUGGACACUCAAAAAUCUUAGUGAUUUACAAAAUCAUAUCUAUUUUUUCUACAGUGAUGCAUCAUUUGUUAUCUUUAAACUUGCAAUCAGAAUCAUAUAAACGCUUUACAUGAACAAUUGAUUUCAACAACCAUUUCUAUCUGUCUUUUUCUUUUAUAAUUUUUUAGAAAUUCAGAAUCUAUAAAGGUCACACAUUGUAUUAUGAUCACAAAUAUAGACAUGUAAGAAAUUGGAAGACUUUGAAUCUAGACCUGCAGUAAACAGGUGGUGGAUUAGUGGAAUGAGGGUCAAGAGACUAACACUGCACGAUAUGGUCCAUGUCAUUGACUCGUCCAAACAAUGUCUGUAGGCCCAUUAGGCUCAGCAAUCAUGGGAUUUCUUUUUUUUUUUUUUUUUUUUUUUACAAAAAAUCAUUGAUUAAAAAAACCCACGAAAACAAGCACUGAUUCAUUCCUUUAAUUUUAGCUUGUAGGUUUUCAUCUUGGCCUGUGGUAGAAAAAGUUAAUUUUGAUCCCAGGUCAUCAAACCAGCUUUGUUAUAAAUAAAUAUUUAUGAACAGUUGACAUUUAAAGGCAAAUUUCUCAGAGUUGAAUGGAAUAGGUUCACAAAAAGUUAAUUACCUAGACUAAGUAUGAAUUUUCUUUCAAUCAAAAUUAAUUAAAUUCACAAAAGGAUCUCUGAUAACCACAUGUCUAUCAUAAGGACACAUAAUUUUUUAGAUUCUCAAAGAAGUGUGAAUUUAUGGAAUUGAACAUGACAAACUCUAGCAAGUAUAACAAUUUAAGAGUUCUCAGUUUUAACAUGUUCCAUUGCAUAAUCAAAACAAGAGGCCCAUGGGCCACAUCGCUCACCUGAGUCACCUUGGUCCAUAUCAGAAGAUUUUCCAUAUCUAUUUGCAUGUAAAACCGUAGUCCCUAUUAUGGCCCCAAACCUACCCCUGGAGGCCAUGGUUUUUGCAAACUUGAAUCUACACUAUGUCAGAAAGCUUUCAUGUAAAUGUGAACUUCUUUGGCCCAAUGGUUCUUGAAAAGAAGAUUUUUAAAGAUUUUUCCUAUAUAUUUGUAUGUAAAACUUUGACCCCCUAUUGUGGCCCCAUCCUACCCCAGGGGGCCAUGAUUUUAACAAACCUGAAUCUGAACUAUAUCAGAAAGCUUUCAUAUAAAUCUCAGCUUUUCUGGCUUAGUGGUUCUGGGAAGAAGAUUUUUUAAAAACUUUGACCCCCUAUUGUGGCCCCAUCCGACCCCCGGGGGCCAUGAUCUUAACAAUUUAUAAUCUGCACUAUAUCAGGAAGCUUUCAUAUAAAUCUCAGCUUUUCUGGCUCAGUGGUUCUUGAGAAGAAGAUUUUAAAAGAUUUUUCCUAUAAAUUUGUAUGUAAAACUUUUAUGCCCCCCUUGAGGCCCCAUCCAAUCCCCGGGGUCCAUGAUUUUAACAAACUUGAAUCUGCACUAUAUCAACAACAAGAACAAAAAAAAAACAAAAAAACAAACAACAACAAAAAAAAACUUUGACCCCCUAUUGUGGCCCCAUCCGAUCCCUGGGGGCCAUGAUUUUAACAAUUUAGAAUCUGUACUAUAUCAGGAAGCUUUCAUAUAAAUCUCAGCUUUUCUGGCUCAGUGGUUCUUGGGAAGAAGAUUUUUAAAGAUUUUUCCUAUAUAUUUGUAUGUAAAAUUUUGAACCCCUAUUGUGGCCCCAUCCGACCCCCAGGGGCCAUGAUUUUAACAAUUUAGAAUCUGUACUAUAUCAUAAAGCUUUCAUAUAAAUCUCAGCUUUUCUGGCUCAGUGGUUUUUGAGAAGAAGAUUUUUAAAGAUUUUUCCUAUAUAUUUGUAUGUAAAACUUUGACCCCCUAUUGUGGCCCCAUCCGACCCCUGGGGGCCAUGAUUUUAACAAUUUAUAAUCUGCACUAUAUCAGGAAGCUUUCAUAUAAAUCUCAGCUUUUCUGGCUCAGUGGUUCUUGAGAAGAAGAUUUUUAAAGAUUUUUCCUAUAUAUUUGUAUGUAAAACUUUGAUCCCCUAUUGUGGCCCCAUCCUACCCCAGGGGGCAAUGAUUUUAACAAUUUAGAAUCUGCAUUAUAUAAGGAAGCUUUCAUAUAAAUCUCAGCUUUUCUGGCUCAGUGGUUCUUGGGAAGAAGAUUUUUAAAGAUUUUCCCUAUAUAUUUGUGUGUAAAACUUUGAUCCCCCCCUUGGGGCCCCAUCUUAUCCCCGGGGGCCAUGAUUUGAACAAACUUGAAUCUGCACUAUGUCAGAAAGUUUUCAUGUAAAAAUCAGCUUUUCUGGCUUAGUGGUUCUUGAGAAGAAGAUUUUUAAAGUUUUUCCCUAUAUAUUUGUAUGUAAAACUUUGAUCCCCCCUUGUGGCCCCAUCCUACCACCGGGGGCCAUGAUUUGAACAAACUUGAAUCUGCAAUAUGUCAGGAAGCUUUCAGGUAAAUUUCAGCUCUUCUGGCCCAGUGGUUCUUGAGAAGAAGAUUUUUAAAUGACCCCACCCUAUUUUUGCAUUUUUGUGAUUAUCUCCCCUUUGAAAGGGACAUGGCCCUUCAUUUGAACAAACUUGAAAGCCCUUCACCCAAGGAUGCUUUUGGCCAAGUUAGGUUGAAAUUGGUCCAGUGGUUCUGGAGAAGAAGUCGAAAAUGUGAAAAGUUUACAGACAGACGGACAGACAGACAGACGGACGCCGGACAAAAUGUGAUCAGAAUAGCUCACUUGAACCUUCAGAUUUUGACUUAAGCUUAAGAUGGUUCAUGAUCCUGGGGCCAGGUGAGCUAAUUACAAGACCCUAGUAAUAAAAUUUAUACAAAGCUUUCUUUCACAUGAAGGCAAAGAAAAUCCACAGCGAGACUUACUUUAUAUAAAUUUUGCAGAUCUCUUUACAAUGAUAUUAACAAACCUAUAUAAGAUCUCAAACACUAACCUGUCAUAACGAAUUCUUGCUAACAGUGGAACGAGCCAGUUUCUGUUACAUUCACAAUGCGCAUCCAGAAA